rnacentral:lncRNA from 10 species
GUGAGAGGCGAGGGCAGGCUGGGAGACAACAACUUUCGCAGCGACUUGGCCGGGGCUGGCGCCCUGCGCGUUCCCGGGCCGUGCGCUCGCUCUGAGACCCGCUCCCCGCCACGCUCUCUGAGGUGACCGAGCGGCGCGUGUGGUCGAAGGAUCGCGCGCGGGAGUCGGGACGCCUAGGACCGGGGUUGGCCGGGCCCUCGCGGACCGUGCUCGCGGGGAAGUGGUUCCCGGUCCCGGGCCUCAGUUUCCCGACCGGGGAGGGAAGGCGGAAGGCCAGCGCGGAGUCACGUCCUCUCCGCCCAGACCCCGCGUGUCCGGAACCCCGCGGCAGGCGGCAGCCUGACGUUGGCAGCUGCUCUCUAUUCUGGGAAGUGCCGAGGGCUUCCCGGGCGGCGGCGGCGAAAGCCAGCCAGGAAAUGAAAUUCUACAGGAGGGAGAAGAAUGGCGGGAUUCAGAGGUGAGGAGGCAGAAGAAGAUUCCAAGCUCUGGACCUCUGGGGGCCACUGGGAGAGUUGAAGGAAUUCAUGAACUUUUAAAAUACUUUAUUCUACAGAAGGAGAUCUUCUUAACUAAUUAGAAAAAGAAUCGGAUUUUACUGCUCCAGGAGUUGAGAAUGAACUUGGUUACUAAUCCCCAAAGUAAUAGAUAAACUAGGUGUGGAUGCUUCUUUACUAAAUUGUAUCAGAGAAUCACAAAUGAACAUGACUUGUGCAUGCAUAAACCUCAGCAGACUGAACUAACCAUCUUUAGAUUAUUUACACAUGUGCUCCUAAUUGAUAUGGUCACCUUUAUAUUAUAGGACAGCAUAUUUGCUUAUUAUUCACAGGUACAUGUAAAGGAGAAACGAGAGUGGCAGGAAUAGUUGGCCUCAUUCCUCUCCAACAGGUCAGAAAAACUUGUUGUUGUUGUUGUUGUUGUGUAGCAUUUUAGAUACAUCAAUUAUUUGGUCUUACUGUGAGACGAAAAACACAUUAGACAAUGUACAGAUUCUUGGCAGAGGUGGUGUAUCAGUCCAUUUUCAUACUGCUCUGAAGAAAUGCCCAAGACUGGGUAAUUUAUAAAGAAAAAGAGGCUUAAUGGACUCACAGUUCCACACGGCCCAGGAGGCCUCCUCAUAGCGGAAGGUGAAGGAGGAGCAAAGGCACAUCUUACAUGGGGGCAGGCAAGAGCACGUGUGCAGGGGAACUGCCCUUUAUAAAACCAUCAGAUUUCGUGAUACUUAUUCACUAUUGCAAGAACAGCAUGGGAAAAACCCACCCCCAUGAUUCAGUUACCUCCCACCGGGUCCCGCCCAUGACAUGUGGGAAUUAUGGGAGUUACGUUUCAAAAUGAGAUUUGCGUGAGGACACAGCCGAACCCUAUCAGGUGGCUUCUGGUGAACUCUUCUUACCCUGCUUCACCAAGUCACUUUGAAAUUUUUUUUUUCAGAGAAAUAAUUGCUCUUUGCUGCAGUUGUCAGCUGUCCUGCUGGAAUUUUGGAAACAGCAGGGCUGCAGAAGGAGGGCUUGAACUACCCACCGGAGACAGGGUCUUGCUUUGUCACCCAGGCUGCAGGACAAUGGCAUGAUCUCAGCUCACUGCCACCCCUGCCUUCCAGGCUGAAAGAUUCCUCCCACCUCAGCCUACUGAGUAACUGGGACUACAGGUGUUCACCACCACAAUGGCUAAUUUUUUGUACUUUUGCAAGAGAUGGGAGUUUCGCCAUGUUCCCUAUGAUUGGUCUCGAAUGCCUGAGCCCAAGCUGUCCAUCCUCGUUGGCCUCCCGAAGUGCUGGGAUUAUAGGUGUGAGCCACUACAGCUGAUCUCUACAAAGUUUGAAAACAUGCAAAGCAAUUCUGUUGUUGAUAUGGACACAUUUGUGUGGCAUAAUUGUACAAAAACAUGCAUGGGAACAGCAAACUCUAAAUUGGGGAUAAUGAUUACCUUUAAGGAGGGAGAAAAGGGAAUAGGGGGAGGUGGAAGGGCACAGAUAGAAUUUCUGUUUUUUUAAUUUAAUUUUUUUUUUUACACGGAGUUUCACUCUUGUUGCCCAGGCUGGAGUGCAAUGGCGCAAUCUUGGCUCACCACAACCUCUGCCUCCUGGAUUCAAGUGAUUCUCCUGCCUCAGCCUCCCGAGUAACUGGGAUUGCAGGCAUGCACUACCAUGCCCGGCUAAU